GAAGGGGCACGGCGCAUGCGCGGCAGGCUCCGCUUCCCCGGGCGCGAAUCCGCGAUCCGGGGUUUGGGCCCCGCCGGGAGCUCUGUUUAUAAACACACCGCGCGGCCGCCGGCGAGGGGUAACCCUAAAGGUAGUGCGGUCGGAGGUCAGAGGUCAGCGGGGCGCCAACUGGGAGAUCCAUCCCUUCGUCUUCGCGGGCUGCUGGCUGCGCGGUGCGUGGCCGGUCUGGCCGCCCUACCGCAGUCCGGGGCUGCCGGGGGCGCCACGUGGUGCGCACGUGGUCCGGUCCCGGCGCUGCGGCCUCCCCUCCCCCACGGCGCCGGCGGCCCCGAAGCGCCUCCUGGCGGCGGCCGCGCGCUCCGCGCUGCACGUCGCGCCUGCGCACAACGCGUCAUGACGCGCCUUCCGGUCUGCUGGCUCAACGAAUUCCUGAAUAUUUAACAGUCAGCUCUCAUGAGCCGGCUGCAACUCAACACUGGUCUUACACAAAGUGGAUCCGAGGAGCAAACCACCGUGUUGUGAACGGCGCCUGAAGAGUUCACGAGGCAGGGGACCACAGGUGGCCUCUAGGACCUGAGAGCCAUCUCUAGCCAACAGCCAGGAAGAAUCAGGGGCCCUCAGUCUCACAGCCACAAGGACACGCGUCUGCUAACAACCUGAAUGAGCUUGAAAGAGCAUUCUUGCCCACUUAAGCCUCCAGAUUAGAACACAGCCAGACCGGCACCUGGAUUGUAGCUGCCUGAGACCCUGAGCAGAUGACCCGGGUCAGCCGUGCCCAGACUCCUGCCCCACGGAAACUGAGAUAAUACACGUGUGUUGUCUUAAGCUGCUAAAUCUGUGGUCAUUUGUUACGCAGCAAUAGAAAACUGAUGCACCAUUGUUCACAGGAUAUGUGCAUCUUUCUGUGUGUGUGUCACGUUUCUCAAUUUUUAAAGGUUGGGGGGAAGUGUUAACAUUACACAAUAAAAGUAGCAGGAAGGAACUGUG